UACUUAAGUGGAUUGUGAGUAACCUCCCUCUCACCCCCGCAGCAGCAGGGAGCGUGUUGAGGCUCGUCAGCAAUUUCCCAGGGUAAACGAGUUUUACUGGCCUCACACCGGGACCCCUGCUAUCUUUGCAGCUCGCCAGGUAACAGAAGGUGCAUGCAGAGUGGGAACUCGAAGCGAUAUGGCAAUUACUUCAAACCUACUGUUUUCAGAUGCAAACCUGAAGGCCUCUGCAGGCAGAGGCUCACCAUUUCCUCCUAAUCUCCCGGAGACUGCAGCAAGGAAUAGUGCUGGUGGAGAAUGCUGUCAGACCUGCGGAGUUUUUCCAGCAUUUUCUGUUUUUAUUUCACCAGACUAAUCCCUGGGAUGGCAGGAUUGUCUUAGGAUGAAGCAGUAAACAAGAAACCAGAAUGAAGAAAGCCUUUAAUUAGACCUGACAGCACCAUAAUGGAAAUUCAGGACAUUGUUAGACCAUGUAGAAGUUCGAAUUAAGAAUUCUAGCCCAAUAAAUUUGC